rnacentral:lncRNA from 1 species
CUAGCUGAAGAGGCUAAAUUUGCCUCUUUGAUCCGUAGGAUAGAGGCUCUAGAACUCAAGGAACACACCCAAGUGAAUCAAGUUGCAACAACAACUUGCAAUGGGUGUAAUGCCACAGACCACACAAUGGAAGGAUGUCCUUUCUUGAUGGGUCCAGUCGAGAACAAAGUAGCACAGGUGAACGCAGCCUAUCAAAGACCCACAAAUGAC